AAUGAACGUUGGCGGCGUGGAUUAGGCAUGCAAGUCGAGCGAGAACCCGCAAGGGGGACAGCGGCAAACGGGGUAGUAACGGGUAGGCAACGUACCCUCGGGUCGGGGAUAGCCACGGGAAACUGUGGGUAAUACCCGAUAAUCUCUGCGGUGGUAAGUAUCGCAGAGCAAAGGUGUGAUUCCACCGGAGGAGCGGCCUGCUUCGUAUUAGCUUGUUGGUGAGGUAACGGCUCACCAAGGCGACGAUGCGUAGGGGGUGUGAGAGCAUGACCCCCACCACUGGGACUGAGAUACUGCCCAGACACCUACGGGUGGCUGCAGUCGAGAAUCUUCGGCAAUGGGCGCAAGCCUGACCGAGCGACGCCGCGUGUGGGAUGAAGGCCCUUGGGUUGUAAACCACUGUCAGAGGGGAUGAAAUGCACGAGAGCUAUCUCUUGUGUUUGACAUAGCCUCAGAGGAAGCACGGGCUAAGUUCGUGCCAGCCGCCGCAGUAA
rnacentral:rRNA from 1 species